GACGGGGGAUGCAAGUGUUAUCCGGAAUCACUGGGCGUAAAGCGUCUGCAGGUGGUUUCCUAAGUCCGCUGUUAAACCUUGAGGCUCAACCUCAAAUCUGCAUUGGAAACUAGGAGACUUGAGUAUAGUAGGGGUAGAGGGAAUUUCCAGUGGAGCGGUGAAAUGCGUAGAUAUUGGAAAGAACACCGAUGGCGAAGGCGCUCUCCUGGGCUAUUACUGACACUCAGAGACGAAAGCUAGGGGAGCAAACGGG
rnacentral:rRNA from 1 species